UGCGAGUCAUUGUAGUAAUACAAGGCAGACGGCUCAGUAACGCGUAGUCAACCUACCCUAUGGACGGGAAUAACCUCGGGAAACUGAGUAUAAUGCCCGAUAGAACACUAUACCUGGAAUGGUUUGUGUUCCAAAUGAAUGUCGCCGUAGGAUGGGACUGCGGCCUAUCAGUUUGUUGGUGAGGUAAUGGCCCACCAAGACUAUUACAGGUACGGGCUCUGAGAGGAGUAGCCCGGAGAUGGGUACUGAGACACGGACCCAGGCCCUAUGGGGCGCAGCAGGCGAGAAAACUUUGCAAUGUGCGAAAGCACGACAAGGUUAAUCCGAGUGGUUUGUGCUAAACGAACCUUUUGACAGUCCUAGAAACACUGUUGAAUAAGGGGUGGGCAAGUUCUGGUGUCAGCCGCCGCGGUAAAACCAGCACCUCAAGUGGUCAGGAUGAUUAUUGGGCCUAAAGCAUCCGUAGCCGGCUCUGUAAGUUUUCGGUUAAAUCUGUACGCUCAACGUACAGGCUGCCGGGAAUACUGCAGAGCUAGGGAGUGGGAGAGGUAGACGGUACUCGGUAGGAAGGGGUAAAAUCCUUUGAUCUAUUGAUGACCACCUGUGGCGAAGGCGGUCUACCAGAACACGUCCGACGGUGAGGGAUGAAAGCUGGGGGAGCAAACCGGAUUAGAUACCCGGGUAGUCCCAGCUGUAAACUAUACAAACUCAGUGAUGCAUUGGCUUGUGGCCAAUGCAGUGCUGCAGGGAAGCCGUUAAGUUUGCCGCCUGGGAAGUACGUACGCAAGUAUGAAACUUAAAGGA
rnacentral:rRNA from 1 species